rnacentral:rRNA from 1 species
CCCUUAGAUGUUCUGGGCCGCACGCGUGCUACACUGACCGGCGCAACAAGUUUCUUUCCUUGGCUCGAUAGGCCUGGGUAAUCUUUGAACGCCGGUCGUGAUGGGGAUAGAUCCUUGCAAUUUUUGAUCUUCAACGAGGAAUUCCUAGUAAAUGCGAGUCAUCAUCUCGCGUUGAUUACGUCCCUGCCCUUUGUACACACCGCCCGUCACACCUACCGAUUGAAUGGUCCGGUGAAGCCUCGGGAUUGCGAAUGCUUCGUGCGGACGCGAGAACUUGGCUAAACCUUACCAUUUAGAGGAAGGUGAAGUCGUANCA